CCUACGGGUGGCAGCAGUGAGGAAUAUUGGUCAAUGGACGCAAGUCUGAACCAGCCAUGCCGCGUGCAGGAAGACGGCUCUAUGAGUUUUAAACUGCUUUUGUACGAGGGUAAACGCAGAUACGCGUAUCUUUCUGAAAGUAUCGUACGAAUAAGGAUCGGCUAACUCCGUUCCAGCAGCCGCGGUAAUACGGAGGAUUCAAGCGUUAUCCGGAUUUAUUGGGUUUAAAGGGUGCGUAGGCGGUCGGAUAAGUUAGAGGUGAAAUCCCGAGGCUCAACUUCGGAAUUGCCUCUGAUACUGUUCGGCUAGAGAGUAGUUGCGGUAGGCGGAAUGUAUGGUGUAGCGGUGAAAUGCUUAGAGAUCAUACAGAACACCGAUUGCGAAGGCAGCUUACCAAGCUACUUCUGACGUUGAGGCACGAAAGCGUGGGGAGCAAACAGGAGUAGAUACCCCAGUAGUC
rnacentral:rRNA from 1 species